UCUCAUUGACACAGUGAGGUGGCUAGAGAAGAUGCUUCUCAUUGACAUAGUGAGGUGGCUAGAGAAGAUACUUCUCAUUGACACAGUGAGGUGGCUAGAGAAGAUGCUUCUCAUUGACAUAGUGAGGUGACUAGAGAAGAUACUUCUCAUUGACACAGUGAGGUGACUAGAGAAGAUGCUUCUCAUUGACACAGUGAGGUGGCUAGAGAAGAUGCUUCUCAUUGACACAGUGAGGUGACUAGAGAAGAUGCUUCUCAUUAAGGUGGCUAGUGAAGAUGCUUCUCAUUGACACAGUGAGGUGGCUAGUGAAGAUACUUCUCAUUGACACAGUGAGGUGGCUAGAGAAGAUACUUCUCAUUGACACAGUGAGGUGACUAGAGAAGAUACUUCUCAUUGACACAGUGAGGUGGCUAGAGAAGAUGCUUCUCAUUGACAUAGUGAGGUGACUACUGAAGAUGCUUCUCAUUAAGGUGGCUAGUGAAGAUGCUUCUCAUUGACACAGUGAGGUGACUAGAGAAGAUACUUCUCAUUGACACAGUGAGGUGACUAGAGAAGAUGCUUCUCAUUGACAUAGUGAGGUGACUAGAGAAGAUGCUUCUCAUUAAGGUGGCUAGUGAAUAUGCUUCUCAUUGACACAGUGAGGUGGCUAGAGAAGAUACUUCUCAUUGACACAGUGAGGUGACUAGAGAAGAUACUUCUCAUUGACACAGUGAGGUGGCUAGAGAAGAUGCUUCUCAUUGACACAGUGAGGUGGCUACUGAAGAUAGGAUGCGCCCUAGGAUGCUACCAUUCCAACAAGUCAGUUUGUCACAUUUCUACCCUCCUAGAGCUGCCCCGGUCAACUGUAAGUGCUGUUACUGUAAAGUGGAAACGUCUAGGAGAAACACCGGCUCAGCCACGAAGUGGUAGGCCACACAAGCUCACAGAUUGGGACCGCAGAGGGCUGUGAAGUGCGUGGCAUGUAAAAAUGGUCUGUCCUCGGUUGCAACACUCAAUACCGAGUUCCAAACUGCCUCUGGAAGUAAUGUCAACACAAUAACUGUUAGUCGUGAGCUUCAUGAAAUGGGUUUGCAUGGCUGAGCAGCUGCACACAAGCCUAAGAUCACCAUACGCAAUGCCAAGCGUCAGCUGGAGUGGUGUAAAGCACGCUGCCAUUGGACUCUGGAGCAGUGGAAACACAUUCUCUGGAGUGAUGAAUCACGCUUCACCAUCUGGCAGUCUGACGGACGAAUCUGGGUUUGGCGGAUGCCAGUAGAACGCCACCAUAGCGCCAACUGUACAGUUUGGUGGAGGAUGUUUUUCAUGGUUCGGGCCCCUUAGUUCCAGUGAAGGGAAAUCUUAAUGCUACAACAUACAAUGACAUUCUAGACGAUUCUGUGCUUCCAACUUUGUGGCAACAGUUUGGGGAAGGUCCUUUCCUGUUUCAGCAUGACAAUGCCCCUCCCCCCCCGUGCACAAAGCGAGGUCCAUACCGAAAUGUUUUGUCAAGAUCGGUGUGGAAGAACUUGACUUUGGCAUGAAUUGCAACGCCAACUGCGAGUCAGGCCUAAUCGCCCAACAUCAGUGCCGACCUCACUAAUGCAGAAGAGUGGAGGCUGUUAUAGCAGUAAUGUUCCAACAUCUAGUGGAAAGCCUUCCCAGAAGAGUGGAGGCUGUUAUAGCAGCAAUGUUCCAACAUCUAGUGGAAAGCCUUCCCAGAAGAGUGGAGGCUGUUAUAGCAGCAAUGUUCCAACAUCUAGUGGAAAGCCUCCCCAGAAGAGUGGAGGCUGUUAUAGCAGCAAUGUCCCAACAUCUAGUGGAAAGCCUUCCCAGAAGAGUGGAGGCUGUUAUAGCAGCAAUGUUCCAACAUCUAGUAGAAAGCCUUCCCAGAAGAGUGGAGGCUGUUAUAGCAGCAAUGUUCCGACAUCUAGUGGAAAGCCUUCCCAGAAGAGUGGAGGCUGUUAUAGCAGCAAUGUUCCAACAUCUAGUGGAAAGCCUUCCCAGAAGAGUGGAGGCUGUUAUAGCAGCAAUGUUCCAACAUCUAGUGGAAAGCCUUCCCAGAAGAGUGGAGGCUGUUAUAGCAGCAAUGUUCCAACAUCUAGUGGAAAGCCUUCCCAGAAGAGUGGAGGCUGUUAUAGCAGCAAUGUUCCAACAUCUAGUGGAAAGCCUUCCCAGAAGAGUGGAGGCUGUUAUAGCAGCAAUGUUCCAACAUCUAGUGGAAAGCCUUCCCAGAAGAGUGGAGGCUGUUAUAGCAGCAAUGUUCCAACAUCUAGUGGAAAGCCUUCCCAGAAGAGUGGAGGCUGUUAUAGCAGCAAUGUUCCAACAUCUAGUGGAAAGCCUUCCCAGAAGAGUGGAGGCUGUUAUAGCAGUGAAGGGGGGACCAACUCCAUAUUAAAUACCCAUGAUUUUGGAAUGAGAUGUUCGAUAAGCAGGUGUCCACAUACUUUUGUGUUAUGUAGUGUAGAUAUCUAUGGAUGGAUGGAUGGAGGAGG